rnacentral:rRNA from 1 species
AGUGAACGCUGGCGGUAGGCCUAACACAUGCAAGUCGAACGGCAGCACAGUAAGAGCUUGCUCUUACGGGUGGCGAGUGGCGGACGGGUGAGGAAUACAUCGGAAUCUACUUUUUCGUGGGGGAUAACGUAGGGAAACUUACGCUAAUACCGCAUACGACCUACGGGUGAAAGCAGGGGAUCUUCGGACCUUGCGCGAUUGAAUGAGCCGAUGUCGGAUUAGCUAGUUGGCGGGGUAAAGGCCCACCAAGGCGACGAUCCGUAGCUGGUCUGAGAGGAUGAUCAGCCACACUGGAACUGAGACACGGUCCAGACUCCUACGGGAGGCAGCAGUGGGGAAUAUUGGACAAUGGGCGCAAGCCUGAUCCAGCCAUACCGCGUGGGUGAAGAAGGCCUUCGGGUUGUAAAGCCCUCUUGUUGGGAAAGUAAAGCAGCAGGUUAAUACCCCGCUGUUCUGACGGUACCCAAAGAAUAAGCACCGGCUAACUUCGUG